rnacentral:lncRNA from 7 species
AGCUGCAGUUUUAUUGGGAAGGUAAGACGACUGUCAUUCCAUCUUUGUUGCUGCUGUAUACAUUACACAGAAGCCUAGGAUGAAAGGUUUGUGAAGAAGCCCUGAUGAAGGCCAGAGAUGGAGACAGAUAAAAUACAACAGCAAUGAAGAAAUGAACAAAGGCAAACAUGGAUCCAGGACAAAAUCCCCUGAAUAAAUAGAUAAUCAGAAUAUGGAGGAGGAAAUGUAAAGGUUGAACUUCCGUGCCCAGAACUGCCAUUUCUAUAACUUGAAAGAAUUUUUGGCAAACUGAAGUUGUACACAUCCCGGAUUUAUGAUUUCAGUGGAUUAUUGCACUGGAUGCCUUGCAGUAAAGGUGUUGAUAGCCUCACUGGAGUUACUGUGCAUACUGGCUUCCCAUUUGUGGAACUGAAUUCAUGAUCUGCAGAGAUGUCAGUGAUUUUCCUAAAGGCUGAAGUAGCAUUAAAGGUUUGUGGAGAAAACCUGACCAGAGGAUGCAAUCAGUGCCUUGGGUUGAAGGCCACCUCUCCUGCCUGUGACAAGGAACCAGAUGCUCUGAGCACAGGAGCCAUGUUUCCUCUAACUGUUUCAUUUCUUGCUAAUGUUCAGCUUUGAUGUCAUUGCCAAGUAUUUUUUGCUCAGAGAUUCUUCUCCUUCAUCCACUUCAUGUGUUCAGGCUUCUUUCCCUUCUCUACCUCAGUGUUCUGCUAUUUGAGCAGCAGUGGUUCCAGCACUGUCCGUGUGUUGCUGAUGCAUUUUUCUUUUGCCUUGCUGCAAGCUUUUUCAUGAGUGGCAAGGAGAACUAAUUUUGUAAAUCGUUUUUUUGUUUUGUUUUGUUUUUUAACAUUUUCCUCAGCUUAUUGUUCAUGCUGUCUGAAGAAAGUGGGAGGAGUACUGUGGAGCACAGCAGCAUGCACUGAGGUCAGUUGGGCCCUGGGCAGUACUGCCUUCCUCUGUGCUGCCUCUCCCCUGCAGCAUCUGUGGCACAGCCGAGGCCAGGCUGUAUGAAUGGGCUGCUGAAAACUAAUCUGCUUGGAUGAACGUGUUACUGUGCAUUUCAGAAAGGCUAUUGCUUGAGGUAUUUAAAAACUCCACUGUUAAAUCCAUCCAUAGUGAACAAUCCAUUUUUAGGAUAUCACAAUAGGUAUAUUUUGCUUAUGUAAUCAAUCCUGGGACACAAAUACUUCGCCAUUCAUUCCGUCCAAUUAACUUCACUAGUUCACAUGAGAUAGAAGUUACGUGGUCAGUAUAAUUUCUGUAUUGCAGCUUUAGGUGUAGUUGUAUCUACUUUUUUUUAUUUGAGAACUGCAGUUCAGUUUUCCUUCUUUUAAACUCCACAAAUUCAAUUUUUUCUAAUUAAAAAGUAUGUUGUUGAGGCU